CUACGACCCACCUGCGCUGCCUGCACCACGCAGGCAACCCACCAUGCCCUCCCUUGGUUGUCUCUGAAAUGACAAUUCUCUUUCGCUGUAUAAACAUGUCACCACCACGUUCGCUUCAUACAACCAUAUCAAUGUUCCUCUUUCCUUUCAUCAUUGCUACAUACCCCACCGGCAUCUUUCAAUUCGGCCGCCAAAACUGAUCCGCUGGUCUUUUAUGUCGACUAAACUUUACUGCAACGAUUCAAAACAUUUGAUUCAUACAAGUAUUCCCAUUCAUUGCCUUCAAAACAGCAUAUAAAUAAACCGCUAUGAAAUCCAGGAUGGUAUCUGAGGGGGUUCGUCCCAUCCUUUUUGCCAGUCAAAUGGCUUUCCUGUCAACAAAGGUAGACCAAAGACUGCAGUUGCCAACCAGGUUUCACCUUCAGCAAUGUCGCCCAUAAGACUAGGAAGAAUGCCGCGUGAGAAGAUGACAUUGGCAUUGGGAUCAAUCUGCACCAGCUUCCCAAGACGCCUUCCGCCUGAAGGACGGUUUGAUAAGUCCAAAAUCCCGACAGCCCCACCCUCAGUCACCGCACGAGCCCAUCCCACCUCUUGAUCACCUCCCGGGCUUGUAAGGCCUGAGAACGACUGUAUCAGAGCCCGCCCAUUUGCACCUUGACCAUAGUUUGUCCAUCCCCCCUCUGCUGAUUUCAACUUCCGUUCAGAAGUGAUUUUGUGGACACGCAGAUACCAGUUGGAUGACGUAGCUUGAGGAGGUAUCAACCAUGUCUCAACCAACACAUCAUUCCAAGGCUUCCAUUUCGAGCGCAAAUGCAGCUGUGCAGUACCUCUGCCAACAAUAGAGCAGUCAAAUGGCUCUCUUCUGACCCGCCAGGUCUCUCCAUCUCCACCUUUCGCGCUGUCUGAAUUAUCGUAGAGGGCAAUCAUGGAGUCACCUGCUAGCUGGCCCAAGUCCAUAUCACCAGUGGGACACGAAAAGCCAAAGGCGGAAGAAUAAGAGAAUUUGCAGUACUUCGCUACUCCAUGUCGCAUAGCGUAAUGCGGCUUUUGCCCGGACGAUAGAAGGAAUGUAUGCCCUCCCUGUCGACAAAUAAUGUGCAUUGGGUCGGGGAGUGAUUUGAUGGGAGGGAAAAGAUGGCUCGGCCAACAAAGUUCUUCGGAAGUCCAGAAGGGAUGGUCGGCGGGAACUCCUAAACAAAGGAAAGCUUUCAUACACCAGUAAGGAGAGCCUUAUAUUUUUG
rnacentral:sRNA from 1 species